CUCCACAUGUUAUAGUUGUUGAAAAUUUAUAUAUUAUUGAAUAUUAUACUUGAAAUCUAUUAAUAAUUAUUGAAUAUUAUAUUUUAUAUUAUCAAAGAAUUCUAUAUUUAUGAGGUUAUUAAUGUUAUUAUUAAUAAGACCAUUAAUAACAAAUUCUAUCUCCCACUGUAUUAUAUUCUGUUUAAUUUCCAAUUUUAUAAAUACCCAUGUUAUUGAUUAUAUAUGUUCUCACUCUUAGUAUUUUAUUAUGGCCUCAUUCAAUAAAUAUGAUUUCUAAUUUCAUUAUAUUCUACACUUUUAUUAUCAUUCAUAAAUAAAAUCCUAAUUUUAUUAUGUUUUGUUUCUUUAUAUAUUAUUUGUCAUGAAUCAGUUGGUUAUGUUCUUAUCUUGCUCUAUGACAUUUCACUGACUGCUCAUCUGUGCUAUUCCUACCGUUCAUUUAUUUCUCCUCUACUUUGUGGUAUUUUUUAUCACUUUUAUUUGAAGUAUGUUUUUUAUAUUUAUUUUGUAAUAUUUAUUUUGUUUAUUCAUAUGUCAUAUUUAGAAUAGUUAAUUUAAAGCCUCGUUUAGAGAUUUUUUUUUUUAAAUAAAUGUUUCUUUUUCUUGCUUUAAAUAUAAAUAAUUACUAUAUGGUCUAUGUUACAUCAAAUUCUGAAUAUAUUGGAUGGAUCUCAGAAAUCAAUUAAUGGGAAACUAUAUAAUUAAUUGAAUUCUGCACAGUGGCUUGCUCUGGCUAAAGAGUGGAAGCAGCUCUCAGUUGAAACCACUGCAGACCAGGAUCCACUUGUAACUAGAGGAGGUUGAGAAGUACCUUUCCGGGUUCACAAAAGUGGACGACAAUCGAUACUCAAUGAAAAUCUUUUUUGAGAUAAGGAAGCAAAAGUAUCUUGAGGCAUUGGAUAAGCAUGAUCGUUCCAAGGCUGUGGAUAUAUUAGUAAAGGAUUUGAAAGUUUUUGCCACAUUUAAUGAAAAGCUUUUCAAGGAAAUCACUCAGCUCUUGACAUUGGAGAAUUUCAGAGAAAAUGAGCAACUUUCCAAAUAUGGAAAUACCAAAUCUGCUAGAGCAAUCAUGUUGGUGGAGCUUAAAAAAUUAAUUGAAGCAAAUCCUUUAUUCCGUGAUAAAUUGCAAUUCCCAAACCUUAAAAAUUCAAGGUUACGGACUCUCAUCAACCAAAAGUAACUCAUUUAAA